CGCAGAGUGACGGGGCCGUUUUUUCCCCGGUAAUGCGGCAAACCGGUCACAAGCCCGG
rnacentral:ribozyme from 1 species